GUCAGUGUGGUGUAAAGGUUUAAGCAUUGGACUAUGACUUUGGAGAUCAGGGUUCAAUUCCCUGCUCAGCCA